CACCGCGGUUAUACGAGAGGCCCAAGUUGACAACCACCGGCGUAAAGCGUGGUUAAGAUAUAAUCAAAACUAAAGCCGAAUGUCUUCAAGGCAGUCAUACGCUUCCGAAGACACGAAGCCCCACCACGAAAGUGGCUUUAACAAUCCCUGAACCCACGAAAGCUAGGACA
rnacentral:rRNA from 1 species